GUCCACGCCCUAAACGAUGUCAACUGGUUGUUGGACGGCUUGCUGUUCAGUAACGAAGCUAACGCGUGAAGUUGACCGCCUGGGGAGUACGGCCGCAAGGUUGAAACUCAAAGGAAUUGACGGGGACCCGUACAAGCGGUGGAUGAUGUGGUUUAAUUCGAUGCAACGCGAAAAACCUUACCUACCCUUGACAUGUCAAGAAUUCUGCAGAGAUGUGGAAGUGCUCGAAAGAGAACUUGAACACAGGUGCUGCAUGGCCGUCGU
rnacentral:rRNA from 1 species